UUCGUCACACUAUCAUUAACUGAAUCCAUAGGUUAAUGAGGCGAACCGGGGGAACUGAAACAUCUAAGUACCCCGAGGAAAAGAAAUCAACCGAGAUUCCCCCAGUAGCGGCGAGCGAACGGGGAGGAGCCCAGAGCCUGAAUCAGCAUGUGUGUUAGUGGAAGCGUCUGGAAAGGCGCGCGAUACAGGGUGACAGCCCCGUACACAAAAGCGCAUGUGCUGUGAGCUCGAUGAGUAGGGCGGGACACGUGGUAUCCUGUCUGAAUAUGGGGGGACCAUCCUCCAAGGCUAAAUACUCCUGACUGACCGAUAGUGAACCAGUACCGUGAGGGAAAGGCGAAAAGAACCCCGGCGAGGGGAGUGAAAAAGAACCUGAAACCGUGUACGUACAAGCAGUGGGAGCACCCUUUGGGUGUGACUGCGUACCUUUUGUAUAAUGGGUCAGCGACUUAUAUUCUGUAGCAAGGUUAACCGAAUAGGGGAGCCGGAGGGAAACCGAGUCUUAAUUGGGCGUUAAGUUGCAGGGUAUAGACCCGAAACCCGGUGAUCUAGCCAUGGGCAGGUUGAAGGUUGGGUAACACUAACUGGAGGACCGAACCGACUAAUGUUGAAAAAUUAGCGGAUGACCUGUGGCUGGGGGUGAAAGGCCAAUCAAACCGGGAGAUAGCUGGUUCUCCCCGAAAGCUAUUUAGGUAGCGCCUCGUGAAUUCAUCUCCGGGGGUAGAGCACUGUUUCGGCUAGGGGGCCAUCCCGGCUUACCAACCCGAUGCAAACUGCGAAUACCGGAGAAUGUUAUCACGGGAGACACACGGCGGGUGCUAACGUCCGUCGUGAAGAGGGAAACAACCCAGACCGCCAGCUAAGGUCCCAAAGUCAUGGUUAAGUGGGAAACGAUGUGGGAAGGCCCAGACAGCCAGGAUGUUGGCUUAGAAGCAGCCAUCAUUUAAAGAAAGCGUAAUAGCUCACUGGUCGAGUCGGCCUGCGCGGAAGAUGUAACGGGGCUAAACCAUGCACCGAAGCUGCGGCAGCGACACUGUGUGUUGUUGGGUAGGGGAGCGUUCUGUAAGCCUGUGAAGGUGUGUCGUGAGGCAUGCUGGAGGUAUCAGAAGUGCGAAUGCUGACAUAAGUAACGAUAAAGCGGGUGAAAAGCCCGCUCGCCGGAAGACCAAGGGUUCCUGUCCAACGUUAAUCGGGGCAGGGUGAGUCGACCCCUAAGGCGAGGCCGAAAGGCGUAGUCGAUGGGAAACGGGUUAAUAUUCCCGUACUUGGUGUUACUGCGAAGGGGGGACGGAGAAGGCUAUGUUGGCCGGGCGACGGUUGUCCCGGUUUAAGCGUGUAGGUGUGUGUUCCAGGUAAAUCCGGUUCACUUUAACACUGAGGCGUGACGACGAGGCACUACGGUGCUGAAGCAACAAAUGCCCUGCUUCCAGGAAAAGCCUCUAAGCAUCAGGUAACAUCAAAUCGUACCCCAAACCGACACAGGUGGUCAGGUAGAGAAUACCAAGGCGCUUGAGAGAACUCGGGUGAAGGAACUAGGCAAAAUGGUGCCGUAACUUCGGGAGAAGGCACGCUGACACGUAGGUGAAGUGAUUUACUCAUGGAGCUGAAGUCAGUCGAAGAUACCAGCUGGCUGCAACUGUUUAUUAAAAACACAGCACUGUGCAAACACGAAAGUGGACGUAUACGGUGUGACGCCUGCCCGGUGCCGGAAGGUUAAUUGAUGGGGUCAGCGCAAGCGAAGCUCCUGAUCGAAGCCCCGGUAAACGGCGGCCGUAACUAUAACGGUCCUAAGGUAGCGAAAUUCCUUGUCGGGUAAGUUCCGACCUGCACGAAUGGCGUAAUGAUGGCCAGGCUGUCUCCACCCGAGACUCAGUGAAAUUGAACUCGCUGUGAAGAUGCAGUGUACCCGCGGCAAGACGGAAAGACCCCGUGAACCUUUACUAUAGCUUGACACUGAACAUUGAGCCUUGAUGUGUAGGAUAGGUGGGAGGCUUUGAAGUGUGGACGCCAGUCUGCAUGGAGCCGACCUUGAAAUACCACCCUUUAAUGUUUGAUGUUCUAACGUGGACCCGUUACCCGGGUUGCGGACAGUGUCUGGUGGGUAGUUUGACUGGGGCGGUCUCCUCCUAAAGAGUAACGGAGGAGCACGAAGGUUGGCUAAUCCUGGUCGGACAUCAGGAGGUUAGUGCAAUGGCAUAAGCCAGCUUGACUGCGAGCGUGACGGCGCGAGCAGGUGCGAAAGCAGGUCAUAGUGAUCCGGUGGUUCUGAAUGGAAGGGCCAUCGCUCAACGGAUAAAAGGUACUCCGGGGAUAACAGGCUGAUACCGCCCAAGAGUUCAUAUCGACGGCGGUGUUUGGCACCUCGAUGUCGGCUCAUCACAUCCUGGGGCUGAAGUAGGUCCCAAGGGUAUGGCUGUUCGCCAUUUAAAGUGGUACGCGAGCUGGGUUUAGAACGUCGUGAGACAGUUCGGUCCCUAUCUGCCGUGGGCGCUGGAGAACUGAGGGGGGCUGCUCCUAGUACGAGAGGACCGGAGUGGACGCAUCACUGGUGUUCGGGUUGUCAUGCCAAUGGCACUGCCCGGUAGCUAAAUGCGGAAGAGAUAAGUGCUGAAAGCAUCUAAGCACGAAACUUGCCCCGA
rnacentral:rRNA from 1 species